rnacentral:sRNA from 1 species
AAGGAGGGGGAUUGAGGGAUGAAUGGAGGAAGGGAGAAAAGGGAGAGGGAGGUGUUUAAGACAGUGGCACCUCCAGUUCUUCUGCUUCCUCUGGCAAAAGAAUCAAGAUUUCCUUGAUUUACCAUGCAGCCAGGUCUGCUGCAGAGACCCCACCUUUCACCACAUGGUAGAAAUGGAGGAAUGUUAAUGUCUGGUUUCUAUUCUGAUAGAAUUAGGAUUCCGUUUCUGUAGUGUAAGUCAUCGAGUAAGCAGAAUCCAAGGCACCCUGAAAAAAAAAAGCUUCAGGACAAACACAUAAUAACAUAUGGUCUUGCAGAGCUGUAAUUCUGGUGUUCAGGAAGCUGAGGCAGGAGGAUCACUGUGAAUUCAAGGUCUCCCCCAGCUUCAUGGACGCUGGAAGGUAAGUACCCAUCAAAAAACUAAUUUCCCACGCUGGGAGAUUUUAUCAACCACUCUAGUGCCUCAGCUCUCUUUGCCUCCACAACUCCAGAGCUGGCUUUCUUUGUGUGCUUGGCACAGCAGGGGGCAUCUGUGUGCACUGCAGAUGUUCUUACCCAUGCUCCUUUUUGGCAGGCGUCUCUGUGAUGACUAAUAUUGGCGCUGUCGUGAAGCCCAGUCAGCUCUUGCUUGCAAGCUUUUGCCAGCAGCCUCACCUUCAAGAUUCGAAAACCCACACAGUUUACAAUCCCAUCCAAGGCACCUCUGGGAAGACCUUAAAGUUUCAUUUGUUAGAAGGUGGGAAAGGGCUGGCAAGAUGGCUCAGUGAGUAAAGGUGCUUGCUGCCAAACCUGAUGACUUGAGUUCAAUUCCCUGGGUCCGCAGGAUGAAUGGAGAGAACUAACUCUUGCAAGUUGGUUCUUCUGAUUCUAAUGAGUGCUGUUAUGAGGUCAGCUGUCAGUGUUGAUGUGUCUCCCUCAACAAUCUGCACUAUGGCUUUACUCCCAUCAAGCUACCUCACUUCUUUUGUGAGUCUGUGUGAGCCCUGUUUUCAAUUCUUCGUAUAAGAAGCCUAGUAACCAGAACUACCUGACCCCAGACCCUAACCAACAAUAACAGUUCAGUGUCCUAGAAAAAUGAGGAUAGCUAAUUACUGGAAUAGCCAAGAUUCCCAAGAUUCCUGAAUGCUGUGCUGUCUAUAUUAUAUUGACAGAGGAAGAUUAUAAACUAGAAAUGAAGGCUUUGUGCUGGCACCCAAUGACUAUAACCCUUAAUGUCACAAUCUCACGUGAACCUGGGUUGGAACCCCAAACAAGACCCUGACUCAGUUGUCUUUGUAUUGUGAUGACCAAACAUGACUUGGUGAGGGAAGUUUAUUUGACUUAUACAUCCAGAUCAGAGUCUCUCAUAAAAGGAAGUUGGGGCAGGAACCUGGAUACAAGAACUGAUGCAGAGGUCACAGAGGAACCCUACCCAUUGGCUCACCCAGCCUGCUUUCUGAUACCACCCAGGACCACCUUCCCAGGAGUGACACUACUCUGCAGAGGGCUGGGCGAUCCCUCAUCAAUGAUUAAUGGAGAAAAUGCCACACAGACUUCCCAGCAGGCAAUCCAAUGCAGGCACUUUCUCAACUUUCCCUCUUCACAGAUGAUCCAAGCUUGUAUCCAGUUGACAACAAAACCCCACAAAAAUGAAACAAAAAACAAACAAACAAACAAACAAACAAAAAACAAAACAAAACAAAAAACUAACUGGCCCAACCCUGGAUUGCAAAACAGGGCCCUGAGAGAAAUUACAGAAGGCUUUUCAAUCCCUUUCUCAAACCCUGCUGUGUGAACCAUGUUGGAGGAGCUUGUUCUGAGAUGCUCCAUGCAAAUGAGAUGGGAAAGAGAAAGGACAGAACUACCUGACUCACAGGCACCAUCUGGAUGUCCUGCCUCAGCUUGCCCACAAAAGCAAUGGCAGUGGGCGAGAAGAAACCAAAGAGAACCUGUACUGUCAGGGUGACUUGGGGUGGAGCAGACGUUGCACACUGGAGCGAAUGCCACCGAGUCAGUGACGCAGAGUCUCCAGUUAUCGGUAAGCACCGCUGACAGAAGAGCUUGCAGAUACAGGCUGUGGACGCAAGCCACAGGUGAGGAGACGCUGAGAGGUUUCCUGUCAGGCUCUAGGAAGGAUCCAGGCAAACCUGGCACCACGCCUGUCAUUUAGCCUUGUUGUCCCCAAGCCAUCCAAGGGCAGGUAGCAUUCUAUCCAAGUCUCUAGGAAUAAGGGGGAUUGGGGCUGUAACUUUAAUUUCAAAUCCUAUUUUUAACAAUGGUCCUUAAAACGCUUUAACCUCCCUUGUAGCCCACCACCCACCAGAGGUACUGGUAAAGCAAGGAAGUGAACCUGUUUACAAAGUUUCCUUAGAGCAGCUCUCACCUGUGAUGUCUGGAAGUGGGGCAGUUCAGCUCACAGGUCAGCAGAGGCAACUCGAUCCACGCACAAAUGCUUCAUGGGUACAUCAGCUGUCUAGUUCAGUAGAGUCGGGAUGGCAUUCAGCAGGGGUGGCACUACGUAACGGAGACAGCCAGGCCUCAACCUUGGCAGCAGGAGGGACCAGGAGGAAUGCCAGGAGAAGUUCUAGGCUGUGUCUCUCUCAGUAAAACGAAGCUCACUGAAGACAAGAGGUCAGCAAGCAUUAUACAGUGAGCUUUCUAAGCAAGCCUAGCUGAGCCUCCACCACAGUCCCUGGGGUCCUAUUGAGACCCCCCCCAAACAUCACAAGUCCUCCAUGGGUCUUGCCUUAGCAUGUAUCUUGUCUUAGCACGUGCAUCCGUCUCAGCUGAUAUCACUCUGCCCAUCGAGGAAGCAGCAGGAAACUACAGCACACCACCAGAAGUUUUUUGGUCCAUUUCUCUCAAAUGAAGCCAGCUCAACCACACAACAUAAGAAGAAAUGUCAGACUUUCUGUGAGCGAUAAGAAUGUGGCCUACAGCAGAGACCUCCUGAUUUCACUUCAACUCCACCAGGAGGCUGAAGACCAGACACACUGAGAUGCACCUACGGUGGGAAAACCUGGUCUAUAGAACAGCACCCACCAUGACCUGAGGUCCCUUGGAGAGCUGUGUCUAUGUGAAGGAUCCUGCAGACUGCCUGCCCUGGGCUGGAGAGACCACUGAGGCUGACUGGAACAUUGCAAGCAAACUGCUAGAAUUAUCUUCUGUUCUCUUUAGCCCUUUCAUAUAGAUUAUUGUCCCUUCUAGACAUCCUUACUUAGCAUCCUUACUUUUAUCAUUUAACUUAAAGUAGCGCUAUUCUCUACCAACCUUAAAGCUAAAAUUGUGCUCAAAGAGUUGUCCUACCUUGCUUCUGUGUUCUUGCUACCAUGUUGCUUCUACUCAAUGACCCACUCGUGUAUCCUUUAGGUUCAUGAAUUUGUGACUUCCUUUUACUCUGUGAUCACAUCAGCUUAUGCAAUCUCUUCUAAUGGUGGCACAUGUCUUUCAAGGAAAUUUGAAUCCAGGUCCCCAAGCUGUGGUCAGUUAUAUCAUCUGAACCAGUAUAAACCAGUUUGUUUACUUCUGUUUUGUUUUGUUUUUAUUUUUUGAGAGAAAGAGAGGAUUUCUCUCUAGGAUGUAGCCCAGGUUGGCCUAGAACUCACUACAUAACCCAGACUUGUUUCUAACUCACAAUCCUCCAGUCUCAGCUUCCUGAGUGCUAAGAUUACACUUCUGCGACAUUAUUUCAAGCAGGCUAGUUUUCUAUUUCUUUGAAGCAUGGUUGUCAUUUUAUGCCAGUAACAUUUAUAUACUUAACCUAUUUUAAAAGGGGGCCUGGGGCUGGAGAGAUAGAUGACUUAGUGUCUAAGGGUACUG